rnacentral:rRNA from 1 species
GAUCAAGCGUUGAAGGGCUUCUGACGGAUGCCUUGGCGUAGAGAGGCGAUGAAGGACGUGGCAAGCUGCGAUAAGAACCGGGGAGGCGCUAGCACCCUUUGAUCCGGUUAUUUCCGAAUGGGGAAACCCGG